GAUGGAUCCCUUGGCAUUAAAAUUAAGGACAGCCUUGCUGUAUUCCUGAGUAGUUCUCCAACUUACGAAGGGGUUUCCUUUAGAGUAAACUCAUUUACGUGUUUAAUUUGCAGGUUAUGGUAAAUACGUAAAUGGCACAAGAUUAAGUUCUUGUGCCUAAAUUUAGCGAACUGAAACAUCUUAUUAGCUAAAAUUUUUAAUCAAAAGAGGUGGCCGUUAGUAGUGGCGAGCGAACGCGGUCUAUUUGUGCCUUAAAUAGAGAACAAAUCCAAAGAAGGUGAAAGUCCUGUAUUCUAUAUUUUGGUACUACGUUAAGUAUUAGUAGGGUAGAAAAAGAUAUUUCUGCCUGAAUGUUGGGGUACCAUCCUCAAACUUAAAUAAACUUUUAAUGACCGAUAGUGAAAAGUACCGUGAGGGAAAGGUUGAAAAGAGAUUCUUUGUAACAGUGAAAUAGAUCAGUGAAAUCUUUGUUGAAACCCUGUUUUUAAAAAAACGUACCUUUUGUAUAAUGGUCCAGCGAGUUUUUGUUUGAAGCAAGCUUAAAAAUUUAUUUUGGAGGCGUAGCGAAAGCGAGUUUUAAAAUGCGUCAGUUUCAAGCUUAAGAUCCGAAACGAAGUGAUCUAACUAAAGCCAGGUUGAAUGAAAUCGAUUCGAUUUCAGGAAGACUCAAUUCGUCUCUGUUGCAAUAGGGUGAAGUGAGCUUUUGUUAGCGGUGAAAUGCUAAUCGAACUUCGAGAUAGCUGAUUUUUCGCGAAAUAUAUUUAGGUAUAGCUUUUAGAUUAGAUUACCAAAGGUAAAGCACUUUUUGGGAUUCUGGGGGGAUUAUAUCCUUACUGGGCCCUUGAAAACUCUGAAUGUUGGUUUAUUAAUUUCUAAAAAGUCAGACUCUGGGUGCUAAGGUCCUGGGUCAAGAGGGAAACAGCCCUGACCGAAGAUUAAAGUAUCAAAUAUUCUAUAAGUGAAAAGGGGUUACGCGAUUUUUGACAGCAAGAAGGUAGGCUUGGAAGCAGCCAUCCUUUAAAGAAAUCGUAACAGAUCACUUGCUUAUUACAGAUCCGUGAUGUCGAAAAUUUAUCGAUUCUUUUGGAAUAACUGAAAUCGCGGUAAUAACUGAUAUAUUAGGUAGCGAAACGUUCUGUAAGUCUAUGAAGGCUUAUUGUUAAAUAAGUUGGAGAUAUCAGAAUUGAUUAUGCUGGAAUGAGUAACGAAAUACUAAGUGAAGAAGCUUAGUCGCUGAAAACCCAAGGUUUUCUUCGAAAGUAAUUUUGCGAAGAAAUAAUCGAUCCCUUAUUUAAUUGGCUGAAAAGUCUUAAAGAUGGGUUACUUGCUUACGUGACAGAUUUUCUUAUUUGUGAUUCAAUAUUGCUUAUUUGAUUUUUUCGGGAAAUAGCGUAAGCCAAGACUCUAUAAGAUAGGUCUUGUGAAUCUUAUAGAUUCGAUCGUACUUAAAACCGACACUGGUGGGUUGGUAGUUAAUCUACUAAAGCGCUCGAGAUAACAACUUAAAAGGAACUCGGCAAAAUUACCCUGUAACUUCGGGAGAAGGGGUGCUUUUUAAGGAGACCCUUAAAAAGUGGCACGAAACUGGGGUGGGGGACUGGUUAACAAAACCACAGGACACUGCAAACUUAUUAUAUUAUGUAUAGUGUCUGAUGUCUGUCCGGUGCGUUUUUGCAAAAAAGGGGUUGUCCUGGCUUCCUCUUCAAGUAAACGUAAACGACAGCAGUAACUCUAACUGUUUGAAAGUAGCGAAAUUCCUUGGCUUUUAAUUGAAGUCCUGCAUGAAUGACAUAACUACCCACCUACUGUCUCUUAAGUUGACUCGGUGAAAUUGAAUUUCAAGUGAAGAUGCUUGAAUAGUCUUGGUGGACAAGAAGACCCUAUGCCGCUUUACUGAAGCCUGUUAUGAAUAUUUUUAAGUUUAUGUGUAGAAUAGGUGGUAGCCUCGGCACAAUAUGAAAUACCACCCUUAAGCUUAUUCGUAUUUCAACGAUAACUUAUUAUCGGAAAGUUUCAGGUUGUUAGUUUUCCUGGGGUGGGAGACUCCCAAAAAGUAACGGAGUUGCGCAUAAGGUAAGCUUGGGUUUUCCCUUAAGUGUAAUGGCAUAAGCUUGCUUGACUGCAAGAUUUACAAAUCGAGCAGAAACUUAUUGUUGGCCAUAAUGACCCGAUAGUCCUGUAUGGAAAGGCUAUCGAUUAACGGAUAAAAGUCACGCUAGGGAUAACAGGCUGCUCGCUUCUAAGAGCACUUAUCGAUGAAGCGGUUGGGCACCUCGAUGUUGACUUAGGUUAUCCUGAGGCUGUAUAAGGUCUCAAGGGUGCGACUGUUCGUCGCUUAAAAACCUACAUGAGUUGAGUUCAGAACGUUGUGAAACAGUUCGGUUUAUAUCCCCAAGACUUGUUAAAUUUGAGAGAUCUUAAUUCUAGUACGAGAGGACCGAAGAGACUCUGCCUAUAGUUUGGGAGUUGUUUAAAAAAGCACCGCUUCUAAGCCACGCAGGGAAGAUAGAACUGCUGAAAGCAUCUAAAGCGGGAAAUAUAUCUCAAAAUAAAUUUACACUUUACUCUGUGUUAUAAUAGCACUUUGAUAGGUCCUU
rnacentral:rRNA from 1 species